rnacentral:rRNA from 1 species
UAAGGUUGACCUCGGAUCAGGUAGGAAUACCCGCUGAACUUAAGCAUAUCAAUA